rnacentral:lncRNA from 12 species
GAGAAGUCCAUUGGAGUGACCUGGGGUUGGGGGUCCUGGCUUCCCACUGGUUAGGCUGUCACUGUGGGGGGGGGGGCUGUGCUCCCCCUGGUCGGCUCAGACCCCCCGAUGGGCUCUGCUCCACCUGCAGGGGCUGUGCCUCCCCGGAUGGGAGAGGGUUGCCGCUCAUGGUGGGCGAUGCAGCUCGUGGGGGGCGGACGCGGGAGGCAGCUCUGGGCCCCACCUUCCCCAGUGGUUUCCUUUUCUCUGAAAAUUCAUAUUUUGGUGCUCAGGGAGUUGGGAAUUGGCUGGGUCCAGGAGGGCGGAAAGCGGAACCAAAGAUUGGUGUCAGGCUACACAGGUGCUGGGCGGGGCUGGGCGGGUGCUGGCGGGUCAAGGGCUGAGGUCUCUGGGGGUUCCCUGUCCCAGGCUCUCAAGUCAGGUGCUGUCCCCGCUGCCCCACCUCCUCAUCCAGGGCUCAGGGUGGCCCCAGGACCUCUUGUGGCCUGUGAGGCGCCCCCAUCCAGACUCCAGGUGCUGCAGGGCCCCCACCGCGCACAGCAGGCCCCUCAGGCCCCACACAGAGAGCCCCCAGGCCCCCAGGCCGCAUCCCAGGGGUCGCAGGCCUCCUGUCUGGAAUCCGUUCCCCUUCCUGCCUGGAGUCCGUGGUGGGGAGGGGGUGCGGCAUUGUGCAUGCGCAGGUCAGGACCCAGCAGGCGGAAGGGGCGUCCGGCUUGUGUCAAGGGUCCAUGUGGCAGCCCCGCGGGCAUAGGCCAGCGAGGUCACGCACCCCUGCCUUCCCUCCCCGCCCCCCCACCUGCUCUGUGGAUGUCGUGUGUGGUGAUGGAGGAAGUGGGGACUUUCUCCUUCUGCUUCCGGUCUGCGCCCCCUUCCCAUGGUUCGGUCGGCUCAGCUCGGGAGCCAUGACACCGCCCCGCCCGAGAGCCAAGGCUGCAGGUCCUCUGCUGCCCGCAAUCCUGGAACGCUGGGAGCUCUAGCCCAGCCUGCGGGGCAGUGGGCUACAUACCCCGGUCCAGCUGGGCGAUUCCA